rnacentral:rRNA from 1 species
UGUGAGGUUAAGCGACUAAGCGUACACGGUGGAUGCCCUGGCAGUCAGAGGCGAUGAAGGACGUGCUAAUCUGCGAUAAGCGUCGGUAAGGUGAUAUGAACCGUUAUAACCGGCGAUUUCCGAAUGGGGAAACCCAGUGUGUUUCGACACACUAUCAUUAACUGAAUCCAUAGGUUAAUGAGGCGAACCGGGGGAACUGAAACAUCUAAGUACCCCGAGGAAAAGAAAUCAACCGAGAUUCCCCCAGUAGCGGCGAGCGAACGGGGAGGAGCCCAGAGCCUGAAUCAGUGUGUGU